rnacentral:rRNA from 1 species
GGCCCGCACAAGCGGUGGAGCAUGUGGUUUAAUUCGAUGCAACGCGAAGAACCUUACCUACUCUUGACAUCCAGAGAAUUUAGCAGAGAUGCUUUAGUGCCUUCGGGAACUCUGAGACAGGUGCUGCAUGGCUGUCGUCAGCUCGUGUUGUGAAAUGUUGGGUUAAGUCCCGCAACGAGCGCAACCCUUAUCCUUUGUUGCCAGCGGUUCGGUCGGGAACUCAAAGGAGACUGCCGGUGAUAAACCGGAGGAAGGUGGGGAUGACGUCAAGUCAUCAUGGCCCUUACGAGUAGGGCUACACACGUGCUACAAUGGCGUAUACAAAGAGAAGCGACCUCGCGAGAGCAAGCGGAACUCAUAAAGUACGUCGUAGUCCGGAUUGGAGUCUGCAACUCGACUCCAUGAAGUCGGAAUCGCUAGUAAUCGUAGAUCAGAAUGCUACGGUGAAUACGUUCCCGGGCCUUGUACACACCGCCCGUCACACCAUGGGAGUGGGUUGCAAAAGAAGUAGGUAGCUUAACCUUCGGGAGGGCGCUUACCACUUUGUGAUUCAUGACUGGGGUGAAGUCGUAAC